rnacentral:sRNA from 1 species
AAACAAAAAUACAACUCACAGGCA